ACUCAUCUUAAAGAAAGCAUGGAGGACUACUGCAUAUACUGCAACCUUGUCAGUUGUGAAAAGGAAAGUGAGGAUUGCACGAUGGUCCAGUGUGAUUCUUCCAAGAGGUGGGCACAUAUGCUCUGCAUUCCAGAAGGAACCAAUCA